GGUGGGUAUAGCUCAGUGGUAGAGCACAUGCUUAGUAUGCAUGAGGUCCUGGGUUCAAUUCCCAGUACCUCCA
rnacentral:tRNA from 1 species